CAAACCUCACAUUUCACUUUAGUCCUUUGACCUUUUCCUGGAAAGGCAAAUGGACUUCCCAGAUAGCUCAAAAUGGAGGAGGAUCCAAAGUCCAGCCCAAGUGAGGUUGUUUGGGAAAGUAAGCAGAGCAUGGGAGCAAAGUGCAAAGGUUGAGCUGAGCCAUUAACUAGGAGGCUUAACUCAUGGGCAGAGGAAGGAAGACGCUAGAUAAAAAUGGGAAACCUGAAGAAUGGAAUCUGACUGACUGGCUCAGGUCAGCCCUUCCCACUAGACCACAGGUCUGAGUCCAGCCCAUGGAUGAAUAGCCAUGUUUUUAAAGGAACACAUUCCUGAGCCAACUAACUGAAGCAGUGCGUGGGUGGUGGCACUAUGGCGCCAGCAUUCCAUAUGGGUACUGGUUCUAGUCCCGGCUGCUCCUCUUCCAAUCCAGCUCUCUGCUGUGGCCUGGGAAAGCAGUAGAAGAUGGCCCAAGUCCUUGGGCCCCUGUACCCAUGUGGGAGACCUGGAAGAAGCUCCUGCCUCCUGGCUUCGGAUCGGUGCAGCUCCGGCUGUUGUGGCCAUUUGGGGAGUGAACCAGUGGAUGGAAGAUUUUUCUGUCUCUACUUCUCACUGUCUGUAAC